UGCUGAGAGGAAUUACUUAUUUUGGUUUCUUAUUUUCUUUUUGGGAGGUUGGUAACUGUGGCAAUCAGGACUGAGUAUCAGUUCGAUGAGCCAUGCUCCGCAAAAAGUCUGACAGAUAUUGCCUAGAUCCUUAAGACUGUCCUUGAGAGCCCCAUGCAGCACAAAAAUCAUAGUUUGGCUGCAGAAUUGCCCGAAGCUGGAUAUUUACUGACUGAACCUGGCAGCAAAGGGCUCAGAGCACCCACCACCAGCAUGGGUGCUGAGCUCCCAAGCGUCACAGCACAGCUCCGAGGCUGAGGCCACCUCUCCGGGACCACACGGUGCCCUCCAUUGCAGGAGCUGGGCAGGAGGGGGCUGUGGUACUCAGGGAGCAGCCCAGAUCGCCGUGUGAGAGGGGACUUGUGCUAAUGAGCAAUUAAUGUCCAAGCUGCAGCUGAUGCUGCUCAAAGAGUGAUUUAGAAGUUGCUGGGCCCUCACUCGAGUGGCUGCUGCUGGGGCUGGGCCUGCUAAGUGUUAAAUGGGAAGGGGGAAGGGGGGGUCUGCUGGCCCCUUGUCCUGGUGGCAUGGUGGAGGGUGUAGAACUGCUACUGGGCUUUCUCUCUUCCAACUCCUGGGCCACUGGCUUCAUCUCUAAUGAAAAAGAGCCCUCAGAAAGGAUGAGUGUGGCUGGGUAACCCCUGACUGAAGGUGCAAAGAAGCUGGGUGUGAGCACGGAGGGCUGCACGUGGCUGAGACCUUCGCAGUGUGUGUAACUAGGCCGAGCUCUGCCGUUUGAGAAGCUGUGUGCUAGGAAGCUGAGACAUCAGUCUGUGACAUGUUGACAGCCUGUCAGGAAGCUUCAUACACUUUGGGUCAGACGCUCUUUCCCUGAAGAAGAGAAAGAUAUUUAUAGCCGGGUAGGACCGUAGCGGGGAAAUCUCCAGGCUGCAAUACCUGUCAGAUAAGGUUACUUAUGGGCCCCGUUGUAACAGCCCACGUGGAGUCUGCUGCAAGGAAGAAGGAAGGAACUGGCAGGGCUAAUGACUCCAGAAGUGCCGUGGGAUUUUAUGUGAUUGAAUUAAAGCUUCAGAUGGCCCUAUUUGGGGAUAGGAAGUUCCGGCUGAGCUGACGUUACCUAUGUGCAAAAUCACAGGCGCAUCAUGGGAGAAAGAUAAUCAAGUUUUCUGGUCUUGGCUUCAAGUCAGAUGUGAUUUGAUUUGGAUUGCAUAGAGCCUGAGGAAGUGGCUCAGAGGCAACUUGGAGAGUUGGACUUGGUUUCUGGCCUCGCAGAAUAAAAAUCCUCAAACCGUGCUCA
rnacentral:lncRNA from 1 species